GACGAACGCUGGCGGCGUGCUUAACACAUGCAAGUCGAACGGAAAGGCCCUGCUUUUGUGGGGUGCUCGAGUGGCGAACGGGUGAGUAACACGUGAGUAACCUGCCCUUGACUUUGGGAUAACUUCAGGAAACUGGGGCUAAUACCGGAUAGGAGCUCCUGCUGCAUGGUGGGGGUUGGAAAGUUUCGGCGGUUGGGGAUGGACUCGCGGCUUAUCAGCUUGUUGGUGGGGUAGUGGCUUACCAAGGCUUUGACGGGUAGCCGGCCUGAGAGGGUGACCGGCCACAUUGGGACUGAGAUACGGCCCAGACUCCUACGGGAGGCAGCAGUGGGGAAUAUUGCACAAUGGGCGGAAGCCUGAUGCAGCAACUCCGCGUGCGGGAUGACGGCCUCGGGUUGUAAACCGCUUUCGCCUGUGACGAAGCGUGAGUGACGGUAAUGGGUAAAGAAGCACCGGCUAACUACGUG
rnacentral:rRNA from 1 species